rnacentral:snRNA from 1 species
AGAGAAUUUCUUAAACCUGGGAGGCGGAGGUUGCAGUGAGCCAAGAUUGUGCCACUGCACUCCAUCCUGGGGGACAGAG